rnacentral:lncRNA from 1 species
AGUCAAUAAGAAAUAUGAGAACUCUUCACACCAAUGGUAAAAAUAAGGCAAUGUUCUGUGAAAACUCCUGACCUCAGGUGAUCAGCCUGCCUCAGCUUCCCAAAGUACUGGGAUUACAGGCAUGAAUCACCAUGCUCGGCUAGAUCUACCGUUUGAUCCCACAUUCUUUCCUUCAGUGUUUUAAAAGUAUUACUCCAUUUUCUGCCAACAUUGAAUAUUGCUGUGAAGAAGUCUGAGGCCAUCACUGUUUUCUCCUCUUAUAGUGACUUUAUCUUUUUACCUAUGUGCCCCCAAAAUUCUUCAGCUUUAAAUCUAGAAACUUUAUAAGGAGAUUUUAAUAUGACUGUUCUAUGCCAAUUUUUUCCUCACUUGAUGAUAAUAGCAAAAGUACCAGAUUGAGGAAAUAGGCUCACUGCCCCUAAAAAUAGAAAAAGAAUUUAAACCAAUUGUUACAAAAAAAAGUAAGCUAUCUCAAUGGACAAAGGAAAGGUCCAUCCAUGACAGAAAAAAACUACAGAAAAUGUUUAAUAAAUGCCUCUGAGAGCCUAGUUUCUACUACUUAAUUCAUUUUGAUGCUUAUUUCUUAGGCUUCUAUGAGUUCUAAUUAUUGACCAGUAGAGAAAACCAUGAAUCCCAUUUGCAUCCUCUCAUUAUGAAAGGUAUCUCUUAUGGAUUGAAUUGUGUUCCCCCAAAAUUCCUGCAUUGAAGCCUUAAUUCUCAGUUCCUUAGAAUGUGACCUUACUUGGAGGU